AUUUUAGUUUAUUUAUAUGCCACAGGCUGUAUAGUGAGGCUGUACAAGGACUGUAUAAGCGCUUAUACAUCCUCUGUAAGUAAAAAUUGGGCCCAUUGUUAUACAGCCUAAUGCGUUAUUAUAGCUGUAUAGUAGCUGUAUAGUAAAAAAAUUGGCUGUACUAUAGCUGUAGAAGAGCUGUAGUAUGGUAUUGAAGAAAACAAUAUGCGUAUAGUUAUUCUCUUAUAAGUUUCUUAAAAAGAUAAUAGUUCUUCAUUGGUUUUUUAAGAAGAUUACAAAGUGAAAUUUAUGAAACAAUCGCAUCUUUUUAGUUUUUAGUUAUGGUGGGCCGCCAAUUUACUGUGAAGUUAAUAAGUCAAGAACAAAUUUUGGACUUUAGGUCACUAUCUAUCACUAUAAUUGCAGAUUCAACGUGCCGACACAUUUUUACUGUGAAAUAGUGCAUUGUUUUGUGGAAAAAUAUUCACGCGCCCGCGAAAUACUGAAGAAUUCAAGAGGAAUAUUACCAAAACAAGCAUUCAGUCAACCAGAAAAGCCGUCAAUUUCAUCUACAGCAACGUGAGCAACAACAUCUACACCAGUAGUUCCAAAAUCUGCAGCACAAUACGUCAUUUAAUAUGUGGAUGAAUCUGAUGUGGCAGCAACGGUUCCACAGCAAAACACUGAUGUAAAUCAGAUGGAAAAUUAUCUAAAAUUGAUUUUAGACAGUGAAAUUAAUAACCCACAAACAAUAAAUGCUCUAAUGGACAGCCAAAAAAAAUGUUUCAUAAAUUGGCAAGUCUACUGUGCAGAUAGAAUACGAAUUUUCCAAGUGUGACAAUACCAAAAACACAGAUGUGGUCGCAUUGGGUAAAACCAGCAAUCCAAUCGAAAAUGAAGCUUU